GACGUAGGGGGCGAGCGUUGUCCGGAUUUAUUGGGCGUAAAGCGCGCGUAGGCGGCCGCUCAAGUCGGGUGUGAAAACCCGGGGCUCAACCCCGGGCCUGCAUUCGAUACUGGGUGGCUAGAGGCAGGCAGGGGAGAGUGGAAUUCCUGGUGUAGCGGUGAAAUGCGCAGAUAUCAGGAAGAACACCGGUGGCGAAGGCGGUGGGCUGGGCCGGCACUGACGCUGGAGGAGCGAAAGCGUGGGGAGCGAACAGG
rnacentral:rRNA from 1 species